CUGUAGAUUGAACGCUGGCGGCAGGCCUAACACAUGCAAGUCGAGCGGUAGCACAGAGAGCUUGCUCUCGGGUGACGAGCGGCGGACGGGUGAGUAAUGUCUGGGAAACUGCCUGAUGGAGGGGGAUAACUACUGGAAACGGUAGCUAAUACCGCAUAACGUCGCAAGACCAAAGUGGGGGACCUUCGGGCCUCAUGCCAUCAGAUGUGCCCAGAUGGGAUUAGCUGGUAGGUGGGGUAACGGCUCACCUAGGCGACGAUCCCUAGCUGGUCUGAGAGGAUGACCAGCCACACUGGAACUGAGACACGGUCCAGACUCCUACGGGAGGCAGCAGUGGGGAAUAUUGCACAAUGGGCGCAAGCCUGAUGCAGCCAUGCCGCGUGUGUGAAGAAGGCCUUCGGGUUGUAAAGCACUUUCAGCGGGGAGGAAGGCGGUGAGGUUAAUAACCUCAUCGAUUGACGUUACCCGCAGAAGAAGCACCGGCUAACUCCGUGCCAGCAGCCGCGGUAAUACGGAGGGUGCAAGCGUUAAUCGGAAUUACUGGGCGUAAAGCGCACGCAGGCGGUCUGUCAAGUCGGAUGUGAAAUCCCCGGGCUCAACCUGGGAACUGCAUUCGAAACUGGCAGGCUAGAGUCUUGUAGAGGGGGGUAGAAUUCCAGGUGUAGCGGUGAAAUGCGUAGAGAUCUGGAGGAAUACCGGUGGCGAAGGCGGCCCCCUGGACAAAGACUGACGCUCAGGUGCGAAAGCGUGGGGAGCAAACAGGAUUAGAUACCCUGGUAGUCCACGCUGUAAACGAUGUCGAUUUGGAGGUUGUGCCCUUGAGGCGUGGCUUCCGGAGCUAACGCGUUAAAUCGACCGCCUGGGGAGUACGGCCGCAAGGUUAAAACUCAAAUGAAUUGACGGGGGCCCGCACAAGCGGUGGAGCAUGUGGUUUAAUUCGAUGCAACGCGAAGAACCUUACCUGGUCUUGACAUCCACAGAACUUUCCAGAGAUGGAUUGGUGCCUUCGGGAACUGUGAGACAGGUGCUGCAUGGCUGUCGUCAGCUCGUGUUGUGAAAUGUUGGGUUAAGUCCCGCAACGAGCGCAACCCUUAUCCUUUGUUGCCAGCGGUUCGGCCGGGAACUCAAAGGAGACUGCCAGUGAUAAACUGGAGGAAGGUGGGGAUGACGUCAAGUCAUCAUGGCCCUUACGACCAGGGCUACACACGUGCUACAAUGGCAUAUACAAAGAGAAGCGACCUCGCGAGAGCAAGCGGACCUCAUAAAGUAUGUCGUAGUCCGGAUUGGAGUCUGCAACUCGACUCCAUGAAGUCGGAAUCGCUAGUAAUCGUAGAUCAGAAUGCUACGGUGAAUACGUUCCCGGGCCUUGUACACACCGCCCGUCACACCAUGGGAGUGGGUUGCAAAAGAAGUAGGUAGCUUAACCUUCGGGAGGGCGCUUACCACUUUGUGAUUCAUGACUGGGGUGAAUCG
rnacentral:rRNA from 1 species